GUCUCGGUGGCGCAAUGGUAGCGCGUUGGACUUCUACUCUUUGUUAUCCAAAGGCUGCGGGUUCGAGCCCCGCCCGAGAUG